GGGGCAUUAGCGCAGCUGGUAGCGCAUCUGCUUUGCAAGCAGAGGGUCACCGGUUCGAGUCCGGUAUGCUCCACCA
rnacentral:tRNA from 1 species